CCUACGGGGGGCAGCAGUAGGGAAUCUUCCGCAAUGGGCGAAAGCCUGACGGAGCAACGCCGCGUGAGUGAUGAAGGUCUUCGGAUCGUAAAACUCUGUUAUUAGGGAAGAACAAACGUGUAAGUAACUGUGCACGUCUUGACGGUACCUAAUCAGAAAGCCACGGCUAACUACGUGCCAGCAGCCGCGGUAAUACGUAGGUGGCAAGCGUUAUCCGGAAUUAUUGGGCGUAAAGCGCGCGUAGGCGGUUUUUUAAGUCUGAUGUGAAAGCCCACGGCUCAACCGUGGAGGGUCAUUGGAAACUGGAAAACUUGAGUGCAGAAGAGGAAAGUGGAAUUCCAUGUGUAGCGGUGAAAUGCGCAGAGAUAUGGAGGAACACCAGUGGCGAAGGCGACUUUCUGGUCUGUAACUGACGCUGAUGUGCGAAAGCGU
rnacentral:rRNA from 1 species